rnacentral:rRNA from 1 species
GACCGGUGUAGAGAUACACUUUCUUCUUCGGAAGCGCCGGUGACAGGUGGUGCAUGGUUGUCGUCAGCUCGUGUCGUGAGAUGUUGGGUUAAGUCCCGCAACGAGCGCAACCCUUAUUGUUAGUUGCUACGCAAGAGCACUCUAGCGAGACUGCCGUUGACAAAACGGAGGAAGGUGGGGACGACGUCAAAUCAUCAUGCCCCUUAUGUCCUGGGCCACACACGUACUACAAUGGUGGUUAACAGAGGGAGGCAAAACCGCGAGGUGGAGCAAAUCCCUAAAAGCCAUCCCAGUUCGGAUCGCAGGCUGCAACCCGCCUGCGUGAAGUUGGAAUCGCUAGUAAUCGCGGAUCAGCAUGCCGCGGUGAAUACGUUCCCGGGCCUUGUACACACCGCCCGUCACACCAUGAGAGUCGGGAACACCCGAAGUCCGUAGCCUAACCGCAAGGGGGGCGCGGCCGAAGGUGGGUUCGAUAAUUGGGGUGAAGUCGUAACAAGGUAGCCGUAUCGGAAGGUGCG